ACAUGCUCCUGGAACAACAACAAAAUAAUAAAAGCAGUGCUUUAACAUUCAGAGAAGUGCUUAAAACCCCAAAGUAAGUGGUGAAUGAUACUCUUUCGUAGCACUUUAAGAAAGGGUUUCUGACACCUGCAUUGUGGCUUUUUAAUGGAAACUGUGUUUCGGUGCAGUAGUUCUACUGACAGCGUUAAUGUGUUCAAUCUUCUCAAAAGCCACUUUCUGUUGGUACUGUGCCAAUGUAAGAUUAUUUUUCAAAUAAUGUUUGAGGGAUCUGGCUACUCAGAUAAUACUUUUGCAACACUUCUGCAAUUUAUUGCAGAAAAGCUUAGUUUGGAGGAACGGUUUAAAAGAUAACCAGUUAUAAUUUGGGAAAUGUUUUUAAGCAAAUAAAAACUAAUCCAGGUGGAAGGGAUUCUAAAAUUAAAGGGUGGUGUUUUGUUUUGGUUUUAAUCUUUAAACAUGCAAAGCAGGUGAGUUUCCUAAAAGUGCCGGAGUUUUGUUGCUUGCCUAAAAAGCCUGUGGUUUUGGUGCUCACAUGACAUUCUGGAGGCAGCUUGUCAGAGGGAAGUUGAUGAUGAGACCUUCUCCGGCAGUGCUAUCUCUACUAUACUGUGCGUGACCAGAAAGAAACAAGUUUUCAAAGUACAGCUAAGAGGAUGGUAUAAAGAGCAAAUUUCACAUCAAUCCGGAUUUGGGAGCAUAUCUGGAAUUAAAAGAGCUUGCGUGGAAAGGAUGGGCUCACAGGGGGCUAAGCUGCUGGCAUUUAAAGGCAUGAAGGUUGUGAUUAAGCUAUAAAUCGAAUAGCAGCCUGUGUGGGGAACAAACAGUCCAGUAUGCCAUGAACAAAGCCAUAGAAAUUCUGCCUUUUUGACUGUAGAAGAGACCGGGGAGCAGAAACAGGGAACAGAGAACAAAGACAGUGCCUUUCAAAUGGGAGGUGAGGAAGGAAAUGAAACCUCCAAGUAAACAUACUCUUACACAAAUGCUAAAAAUCUAAUGAAUAAACUGAGGGAAAUCAAAUGUCUAGUCUUGCAGGAAGACAGUGACAUACUAAAUGUGUUGGACAUCACAGUACCAGGACAUAAUAUACAUACAGAAUAUGUAAGAAUCACUUCUGCUGGUCAUAGGGCAGGGAAAUUUGUUAGUGAGCUGCUAUAAUCAAAUCAAAUGAACAAAGCAGGAACCCAGCAAGUGACACAGGCUCUGCGUGGAUUGAAAUGCCAGCUUAAAGCAGCUUAAUAGCAAUGAAUCUGCGGAAACUGCGCUUUGGGUAACCGCCGUUGACUCCACCAGUACCAUUUCACAGAGCAGCUGGAUGAGGAAACCACAGAAGAGAUGCAGACCUUCAUUUGGUCGUCAUUAAUGUGCAAGAUCUUAUUCUAGAUCUUCAGCUUAUGGUAGCUGUUCCUGGGUUUAUAUUCCAAAUUCCUAUGGGCUUGACAAAGGUCAAGCAUUCGCAGCAGCUACGCUUAAUUUUAAAGGAACUGAGACAUAGAAAUGAGAAAGUUUGUGAAAAGGAAACAAAAAGGAGCAGCUAGAACCAGUAAGAACACAAAACACAGCAUCGGUGCGUGGUGAAGUCUUCAGAAGUUCUGAGAGGAAGCAGACACAAAAUAAUGUCACCACGAGGGAGGUUAUCAGAAGCAAGAAGUUGAACACAUCUUCAUAUUACAACAACAACAACAAAACCAGAAAGGAUCAUAGAAUCACAGAAGCAUCUAGGUUGGAAGAGACCUUCUAGAUCACCUAGUCCAACCUCUGACCUAGCACUAACAAGUCCUCCAAAACAUAACACAAAACAUAAGAAAACACACUGAAAGAGCAAUAAAAACUGUGAACAAUUAGGAAUUCGAGCUAAGAAGAGCUCUGACCAAGCAGACGACCAGAUUAUUGGACCAAAAGACAACUGCAGAGAAAAAGAGAAGAGAGAGCAAAAACUUUGCAGAGAAGCUAAAUGAAGCAUUUAGGUGUAUUUACUGGAAUAAGCAGCUUACAUGAAUCUGAGGCUUGAACAAGAACUACCUGUCUGUGACUCAACACUCACACAACGAGAUAAAGUUUGUGGGUGGACAGUGCAUACAAAUGAGUUUAUAGAACUUCUGUCUGUGCUUGACACCACGGAUAAAUCAGGGAGAGACUAUGGGAGUAUUGCUAUCAGCUUUUCAUCACUGCACAAGUACUGCUGGUGAGCUGGUUUUGUGUACUUGAUGCAGAAUAUGAGAGGGAGAAUUUGGAAGAAGAUAAUACAGAACAGCACAGAUCCCUUAUGACUCAGAUCUGCAGUGCUCUGCACAUGCACUAACUGUGAAUAAGAAUUUAGACAAAACUUAAAAGUAGGCUUUAAGCUAUAAAGCCUAAUUAUUCUGUAUUUGGUCACUCCAGAGGCCACCUUUGAUUUCUAUUGUAGAAACCUUCAGUCAUGUCCAAGCUCAGCCUGUUUCUGGCUUUGAUUUCAAAGCCCAAUUUUUUUUAUAAAAACAAAACAAAACAAAACAAAAAAACUUUCCAAACACAUUUCAGUACUGACUUACCUUCCUUUGCUAAGGCUUUCAAGUAGUAAGUCUGCUCUUUAUGGUGUCUUAUAGAAGACUGACCUUGGAACGCUUGAGUAAUUUUAGUUCUAUUUUUCAGUGUCAAAAAAAAAAAAAGAAAAAGAAAAGUAAUACCAUAUAAUCACUAAAAUAACUAAACAGUACUAUUAUCACUUUCUGAUUUGUAUAUGACUUCAUUAUUAAUAUACCUAAAUAAAUUACAAAAUUCUUUAAAAAAGAAAAAAUAGUGAGAAUGAAUAAAGAGUUAUAGUAACAAAGAAAAUGCAGUUGUAUAUAGUGAACUAUUUAAUUCAUGCUCAAUUAAAUAGCCUUAUUUCUUUAUGGA